rnacentral:rRNA from 1 species
UUUUUUGUGGAGGGUUUGAUUCUGGCUCAGGAUGAACGCUGGCGGCGUGCUUAACACAUG